CCAAAACCGAUAGACCAUGGCAAACAUCACAGGUGCCGGAAGGAGGGUCAGGACUGCCACGAGCACGGUGAGCUGCUGCUGCUGCCGCUGGCCCACAGAACAGGGAGAUCAAACCCCCACCCAUCCCAGUACCCCGCAGACAGAUGAGAGAAGAGACAGACGCCCAGACACAGCCACAUCAUUAAGUUCGGGAAUUGCAGGAUUGAGGAAGAGAAGAAAACACAACAUUUGAAAAAGUAAAGAGUAAUUAGUUCCCAAAUAGU